GUCUCUGUAAAGGAACAAAGAUGCCAGUUUGAAUCCCUGUAUAGGCUUGCUCAGAAUUCUGUACUCAAGAUGGCUACCCCAACCCCAGUCUCUUCCAACUGCCAGGUGUAACUGUGGGUGAUGGAUUCUUGUUUUUAUCCACCUACUGGGGUGCCAACUGUAAUAGAUGACCAGAAUGGGGUCACCCAUUGUUUACUUUGGGGACUAGAGAGUGAGAGAGGUGUGACAGAGCCAGAAGAUGGAUAGGAUAGAUUGAUCCUCCCUUCUCUUCCCCUAGGGAAGAUAACACAAAUUGCCUUUUAGAGGGACAGAAUAUGUCCCUUCAGAGACUGGGUUGAGUACAAAGGUUAAGUACUGAAACUGACUCUCCUCUCUUGAGGAGAAAGUAUGGCUUUCUUCCCCAAGCUUCAGUUCCCUUAGCAAACUUGGUCAAGAGGAAUAACUUCUUUUAUUCUAUAAGGACACACAAGACAGGGAGAGUGGGGUUGUUGGAUCAGGAAAGUGGGAAAUGGGAAAUCCCUAUGAGUUAACAACUGACCCCCUCCCCAAAUCCUGAGGGCUCAGGCUAUCUGCCUGACCCUCCUUGGUCAGUUGUGAGAUCUAUCCUGACUUCUGUCUAGCCUAAUUGUAGCAUGAAGUUCAAUGGACAAAUUUCAGGGAAUGGAGAGAGUUCUUUGGGUGAAUGGCUUCCUAGCAAAGUCCCAUCCACUUCUUUAUCUUCAGCUAGAUCCAAGGGGUUUUGGGUUCACUGCUCAGAAAGGUCUCCUGUCUCAGAGGUAUCUCUCAGACUAACCAUUCCAGGAGCACUCCCAAAGAGAAAUGAGGGAAAGAGCUUGUCACUUUGGAUUAACAAUUGCACAAGUCUCCAUGCUGAGCCAAGCACUGAAGAAAUAUUAAAUGGCUCAAGGACUCCUGAAGCUCAGCUUUCCUAAAAGAAGGGACAUUCUCCAAACUUAAGGAUAAGCGAUGGAUAAUGAGAGGGAGAGACACACACAGGCUUCAUAUUAAGAAAAAAUUUCCUGGAUAUGGCAAUUGUCCUAAGAGGAGGUGCAAAAGGAGGCAUCAGACCAUAUAUUGGUAGACAAGCUCAUUUUCUGAAGACAUACUAAAAGUCUCUACAACUCCAGGAGCAGAAGAAUGAUAAGGAUGAUGGAUACUUGAGCCUGUUCCCAGGUGAAUGCAUAUCUCCAUCACACUGAAAACACACUUACAGCAGACAACUUUUCUUGGGGUCAUUCUUGCAAAGUGGAGGCUGGUGGAGAAUCUGCUGACUGGACCCGAGACAUGAUGAGUGAAAGGCUGACUCCUUUCAUAUUGUAUUUUCUGAAGAGACUAGCCUCAGGAGAGAUUUCCCCAAGUCCUCAGCUUUGCUGAGGCCUAAGGACUAACUCCCUGCCCAUGUUGAGCCAGGGGCUGGUAGUAAAUUACUUAGUGCUUAGGCUAGAUAUCUUACCCUAUUCUCUCUCUGAUUUUCUUACUUCACUCUUUCUAUACUUUCUAUACAAAUAAAUUAUAAAUAAAUCCCUUUUGAAAUA